GCACGGAUGGCCGAGUGGUCUAAGGCGCCAGACUCAAGCGAUAUAAUUGCUUCGCACGAGUUCAAGUGCGAAAUGAGUUAAAUGGGUGUUCUGGUAUCGUAAUCGAUGCGUGGGUUCGAAUCCCACUCCGUGCA